AUCAAGCUGAAGAAUCCUGAAUAGGACGAAACGCGCGUCCUGGAU
rnacentral:hammerhead_ribozyme from 1 species